rnacentral:lncRNA from 1 species
UUUUUUUCUGUUUCUUUUUCGCCCUAACUGAUCAUGCAUGUAGUUUUUCUCCUGAUUUUGCGAUGAUAUUUUUUCUCCCAUUUUUUAUCAUGCGGGAAGGAAGGAUCUCAGGACAGAAGACAAAACUCUCUCUUUAUAGUAAGUAGAGAUUUAGUAAUAGUGAUUAGUGAGUCUUGAAUCUUAAAACAGAAUAGGAAAACUAUCACAUGUUUCUUAAAACUAUGAACACUGUAGAAUGUGUUUCCAAAUAAUAAUAUAUGUGACUGAAUUGUGAUGUGGUAACCUUGCUCCUGAACUCUUUUAGCUGGUUAUAUAUAUUUUUUCUGUUGUGAGUGCUGCCUGGAGUUAAUGUUUAGAUUACUUGAAGCAUGUCUAUGUUACAUGUAAUCAGUUGACUUGCCUAACUGUUAUGCAUUUUUUAAACAGAAAUUAAAGCAGUGAGAAAAAGAAAGGAAAGAGCAAAGGAUCUUGAGGGCAUAGACAUGAGCAAUAUUAUUACGAGUUCUCGUAGGAGAAAUGCAUCUAGUUUUAUACCCCUGCCAGUGCCUAAAAUUGAAGCUGAUAGUGACAGCGAUGAUGAUGAUGAUGAUGAUGAUGAUGAUGAUGAUGAUGAUGAUGAUGAUGAUGAUGAUGAUGAUGAUGAUGAUGAUGAUGAUGAUGAUGAUGAUGAUGAUGAUGAUGGUGAAGAGGAGAAUGUGGAGGGUGGAGAUAAAGGUGACGACGACGAUGCAGAAGCUGGAGAUGGAUCUGCUGAUGGUAUGAUUCAAUUCAAUAGUUUGUAACAUUUGAAUUUACUGUCAACAGCAUUGCUAUUUACAACUUUCUUUACUGUUGUAUUGAGGAGAAGCAUCAAUUGUUGUCUACAUUAACUUUUUUGCGAUGAAGUUUGAAAAAAUUGAACUUUGAAAGAUAUGAACCUGGCAGGCAGCACUAGGUGGGGUUUUAAAUGUUUUUAUCACUUUUGCACCUAUAUUUAUCUUCUUUUGUAUCCUGCAAAUCAAG